rnacentral:rRNA from 1 species
GAUGAACGUUGGCGGCGUGCCUAAUACAUGCAAGUCGAACGAAGACUGUAGUAAUACUGUCUUAGUGGCGAACGGGUGAGUAACGCGUGGGUGACCUGCCCCGAAGUGUGGGAUAACAGUCCGAAAGGAUUGCUAAUACUGCAUAAUAUCCAAGAGAUUAGACGCUUUUAGAUUAAAGGAGUAAUUCGCUUCGGGAGGGGCCCGCGUCCCAUCAGCUAGUUGGUAAGGUAAUGGCUUACCAAGGCGAUGACGGGUAGGGGACCUGAGAGGGUGGCCCCCCACAAUGGAACUGAAACACGGUCCAUACACCUACGGGUGGCAGCAGUAGGGAAUAUUAGUAAUGGGCGAAAGCCUGAACUAGCAACGCCGCGUGUGCGAAGAAGGCCUUCGGGUUGUAAAGCACUUUUUGAGAGGAUGAGGAAGGACGGUACUCUCAGAAUAAGUCUCGGCUAACUACGUG